UUAAAUCCGCUUUGUUGAUUUAUCAUAUUAAAGCAAUCUUAAUACAAUCGUGUGUUAAGAUAAUGGUACACAAAUUCAUGUCAUAUUCCGGUGUACCUCUUAACGGUUCUUUCAGCAUCGAUCAAACAUUUUGUAAUAUUUAUUGCCCUUUCAUUUUCGAUCGAAAAACAUUAUUUAUUUGUUUCGUUUUCAAUUGAAAAUCCUAUGAGAAUUGUUUGAAACAGACGUUCAGAUUUACUUCGUUGAAUCUCUCACUUGAUUUCAAAACAAGGUGAUGCUUGUUCAGUCACCACUAUUAUUGAAUUAUUUCGAUCACUACGACACCUUGUGGUGUCGGUAUAAACUUGUAGCUUGCGCUAAUCAUGAUUGAUCGUUUCAUGCAAAACUACGUACGCUCUUUGCUUGACUAAUCAUUUAAAUAGUCUUAAUGCAACUAUGUAUUAAGACGAUGAUACACCAGGUUCAGUUGAAUUUCAUUUCGGUGUAUCCUUGCAACUCAACAAUGUCAACACGUUGAUUUAAUAUUAUUCAUUUAUUGGUUCAACAGUUGACAAAUGAUUUCAUGAUUCUAUCUAUUUGAGCUUGUUGAUUCAGGUUUCAAUCAUACAACAACCAACGCAAGUUUCUGUUGGUAGUGAAUUCUAUUGUGUCAAAAAUUGAUUUGCAUAUUGUGAACAAUCAUUUGGAAUUUUAUUGGUCGAAACUCCUCUUUUGUUGAACCCCGUAAACUUGAUCGCAUUGGUGAUAGUAUCACUACGCUUCGUUCACUUGACAUGGACUUCUGGAACAAACUCAGUUGAACCGCUGAGUUCUUAUUGAUGAAAAAUGACCUUGAAUUCACAUAUUUCGAAUAAUUCUUGACUUGAUUAGGUGAUCAUUCACUUUGUUAUUAUUCGGACUUACCUAGGAAUGACAAAACUCUGGGAAGAUAACAUAGUCUAAAUUUCGAGGACGAAAUUUCUGCAACAGGGGGAGAAUGUGACAACCGGUAAUUAACGCCUCUUAAUUACGCAAUUAACAAAUGUUUAAGGUGAUAAUUAAUAGUGUUUAAGGCACAAAUUAACCUAAUUACGCUGUUGUAAUGCUUAGGAACGCCUACUCGAGUUUAAAGUACGCGAACGAUAAUCUGCGGAGAAACUGCUUAACGUUAAACGACGAACUGAUGCCGUACGAAAUACUGACCACGCCGACAAAUACGAAUUUAUACGUAUAAUUUAAAUCUACGGAUUUCAUUUUGCGAAACUAGCAUGCUUUCGAAUGUCACAAAGCGCAUACGUGAACGAAAAACGCGACUGUAGGAACGCACCGAUAACAAAACGGAAGCAUUAGACUCGUGUAUUUCCUACAAAACCGAAAUUUUAUGAUAAAUUUAGAUUCGUAAUCGAAUUUUAGUAACCACGUUCGAAAUCGGAUCGAGAAAUGCAUUAAAAACAACAACCGAAGUAAUUUACGCGUUUUAGCGUAGCCGACGAACGUACGCAACUAAUAUCGAAUACUGACACACAAGAGUGUUGAUGAUGAUUACUUGAAUGACUAGAAAAAGUUCUACAUAUUUAUUUUCAUUCAUAAAAAAAGUAUAAUAGCAUUAAAAUGAUCCUAAGUUCUAGGUCAUGAAGAAACAAAAAGAGUUAAAAUAAUAAUCAACUUUUGUCGUGGUGGACAUUAUUGUCGUUCACAAACAUGCACUACUCACAAGUUGAUUUUUUUUUAUUCAUUGAAAAUAAAUGGAUGUACCAAAUACAUAUUUGUAUUUAUUUUUAUGUUAGAAAAUAUCCCCCAUUUCUUUCUUUUACGCAAGCUUCAAGACACAAUUAUGAUUUCUUUUCUUGGGGUGUUGCCUAAACAUUUAUGAGGCAUGGUCAGUGAUUUUAGAAAAGAUCUAAACUCUAUUCUUUUAAUUAAUCAUUCAAAUCUCAAGAAGUCACCUGCACUUUUUCAUUUCAACCCUAUCUCUAAACACGCACACAACUAUUGAUCUUCCCUUCACUUCACUGUUUUUGUUUUGACAGUAUUAAAAAAAGAAAGAAAGAGAAUACAAUUAAUUUACUUCACUGACACACUCAAGAUAAAUGCAUGGCUCUAGAUUUUUUUUAUUUCUUUCAUACAUGUCUUUUGCAAACAAAUGCACAGAGAUACCCAAUUCGAAAACCCUCAACCUCCAUCUUUCUAUACCUUACACACCUGAAACCUAGAGAGAGAGAGAGAGAGAGAUCAGUGAGAGAGGGACAGAGCCGGCGACCGCCAGCGAUGCUGACGAUGAUGACGUUGAAGGCGGCGACGAGCCGACAAGUGCCGGUCGUUUUCCGGCCAAACACACCUAAAACUCUCUCUCCUUAUGUCUCCAGCCACACUCACCUGUGAAGAUGGGAGGGAGAGAGAACGACGUCGACUUCUGUUCCGGCAAUGGAGCUCCGGCCACCGCGGUUCCAUCUCCGGUAAGCUCCUCGACUUCUUCUUUUCAUUUUCAACUUGAUCCUGUUCGAUCUAUGUCUUUCGGGCUGUCUUACUGUCGAUUUAGGAUAUGAAUGAUGACCGAUGAUGAUGUUGGUGGAGGUUUUGUUUUAGUUCAGUUCGGGUUCUGUUCUUGUUCGGGUUUUCGGGUCAACAUUCGGGACCAACCCAAGACCACAAGAAGUAUUUCGAGAUCAACAGAAGAAUAUGUCUCCCUUGAUUUUCGAGUUACAUUAAUACUCCAGUCUCCAAUGCAAUUUUAAUUCACAGAAUGUGUAAUCACAAACACUAGAGCCGGGACAAACUAUAUCCUCACAGAUUAUGGAUACUUUUACCAAGUGUUUGAUAAUAAUGGAAAGGGAUCAAAUUCAGUCAAUGCGGUCGAAGAUGCUCAACACGGUGAAAGCUGGUAAACUCGGUUCACAUUUUCGGUUCGGUGUUCGGGUCCGCUGUGGUCAACGAAAGUCAACUGGUCGAAACCCAGUCAACGACAGUCAACUGUCGGGUCAACUGGUCAAACGCGGUCAACUCAGACCCGGAAUACUAUAGAUGCACGCUAGCUACAUCACAUUCGUGGAAUGACACUACGGAAUUACUUCUAGCUAGCUUUGCACAGGAAUGUCAAGGUUGCAUUUUUUAAAACUAAGGAACGGUUGGAAUAGGAGAACCCAUGGAAAUUCGAGUACC